rnacentral:tRNA from 1 species
GGACCCAUAGCUCAGCGGUAGAGCAUCUGAUUCCAGCUUAAAACUUUACAAACUGGAGUAAUUCCACUCCAGUAAAGUAAAAAUCAACUGCCUCCAGAAGGUCAUCCGUUCAAAUCGGGUUGGGUUCA